AGUGAACGCUGGCGGUAGACCUAACACAUGCGAGUCGAACGGCAGCACAGUAAGAGCUUGCUCUUACGGGUGGCGAGUGGCGGACGGGUGAGGAAUACAUCGGAAUCUACUUUUUCGUGGGGGAUAACGUAGGGAAACUUACGCUAAUACCGCAUACGACCUACGGGUGAAAGCAGGGGAUCUUCGGACCUUGCGCGAUUGAAUGAGUCGAUGUCGGAUUAGCUAGUUGGCGGGGUAAAGGCCCACCAAGGCGACGAUCCGUAGCUGGUCUGAGAGGAUGAUCAGCCACACUGGAACUGAGACACGGUCCAGACUCCUACGGGAGGCAGCAGUGGGGAAUAUUGGACAAUGGGCGCAAGCCUGAUCCAGCCAUACCGCGUGGGUGAAGAAGGCCUUCGGGUUGUAAAGCCCUUUUGUUGGGAAAGAAAAGCAGCAGGUUAAUACCCCGCUGUUCUGACGGUACCCAAAGAAUAAGCACCGGCUAACUUCGUG
rnacentral:rRNA from 1 species